ACCCCCCCUGCCAUGUGGUUCUGCUUUUUCUCCCAUUUCUAACGUGAAGCAGGCGUGAGCCGGGGGUGGAAGCGGCCGGCUGAGGUGAGGGCCAAUUCCCUGGAUGGCAGGAGGGAAUGAGGCGGAAGGGAGGAGGAAUCGCAGGAAAGCUCUUCAAAUGAUCCUCAUUUAAGGUGUUUUAAAUGAGUUUGAGUUGAGGUUUGUUUGGCCUCCUGCUCUGCUGAGAGCAAAGACGACACCUGCUUUCAAUUUGCAUCUUCUCAGCUGGUUGUGGUUGAUCUGAUUAUUACUGCAUAUAAGCCCCUAGUUUUCCUCUGUCAUGUCACGGUUGGAGCUUUUCUUUUCAGUUGUGAUUUUUUUUGUCAUUUUUAAUGAUUUGUCACCUUUAAGUUUGGUUUUUCGCUCCAGUUUCUGCUGCAUGUGUUUCCUGUGUGUUGGUGAUCCAUUACUUCAUCUCCUGGCUGGCAGUCCAGUCAAAACCUUUUCUCAGUCUCUAGCUGAGAACAAGAGUUUGUGCAUAAAUUUCCAUAGUCUGACUCCAGCUCAGAGGAUUAUGACGAGGCCAAACUUUAGAGUCGGGGGCAUUCUGUGUCUUUGUGGUCUCAAAUCUCUCAGAUUUUCCAAACACUGGAUUGGUUUUCAAAAUUUCUCAAAGGAAAUUUCUUAAAGGAUCUGUAGUCAAAGCUUUGCUGAGAAAUCCAUAAGGGCCUGACGUUGUGUAAAAUAUUUGGAGUUUUAUGUCAAGAUAAAAUAACAUUUGUUCCUUUUCCACCAUCCGAUCCGCAGAGAGCAGAGAAAUGAGAUUAAUGCACAUCUCAGGAAUGUAAUCCAGACCAACAAACUUCAUCCAAGUGACGGUUUGACAAAUGAAAGCUGUCCAAAAACUUUAGCCAGGAAAAGCCAGAAAAUAAGUAACAUUCAGUAACAUGUAAAUAACCCACAAAGAUAACUUGAAAACAUGAGAAAUGUUGGUAUUUUACUGUUAAUCUGGAUUAAUGUUCUAAAGACACUCAAGAGGAACUUUAUGGAAGGAGAGCAUCACCAAACAUCUGGACUCAAACUAGCAGGAACCAAGUAGGGUGGUGGUGGUAGUGUGAUAAUGUGGGGCUGCCUCACAGGUUCAUCCUGAGAAGGUCUCAUGCAGGCGGUCAUAUGAAAGGCAGCAGAAGACGGACGGAAGGAAGGUUUAGCCUCACGUGACUCAGUUUAGAUCAAAAAGAGACUUUUGGACAAACAUGGAUCCAGUUUGAGGAAAAAGGAACAGAGGAACAUCUGGACUAAUGUUCUGAUGAGACACAACAGGAACUGUAGGAAUAAAGGGCAUUCCAAAUAUCUGAAGUUCAACUAACACAGACUUUCAGAAUAAAAGUCUGACAAGGUGGUGGAAGUAUGAUGAGCUGGAUGACCUGUUGAAAAUGUUCAUUUCCCUGCAGUAAAUGGAACGUUUAACAGUGGCGUGAAAUUGCAUCUGAGUUAAGUAAGAAAUAAAUGAGCCAGAGUUUGUCAGAUGAAAGGAGAAUGGAGACGUAACAUCAUAUAAUGUGAGAAACUAUAGAAAUGAAGCUGCCUUUUUUAUUUUUUAAAGUCUUUUCAAGCUUCAGUCGUUCAAGCAGCAUGAAAAAUAUUUUGCAAUUACGUCUCAUCUGAUAUCUGGGAGUGCUUUAGAAGGCGACUGUUCGAGUGAGCUGAGGACGACUUUAACAGGAUAACGCGCUGCCAUCAGAUCCUGUGAGGUGCAGAAACGUACGUGAUCUCCGGGCUGCGGCCUCAUCAGAGACACCUGGUCGUAGCCGCGGCGGAACAAAGCCCAGAUGGCAUCCAGCUUACCCUGCAGAGGACGGAGGAGAGGCUUUUGUUCUGAAAUGAAUGACAGGAAGACAAAGCAAAGAUGGAGGAUGGAGAGCCUCAAGGAUCUCGUCUGGUUCAGGGGGAGGAGGUGGAGGAGGUUCCUUGAUCACCUAUGGAGAAGGAGGAGAGAGAUGACGUCAAUCAUUCCCGCUCGGUGGAGCUUGUCAGGAGCUGGAGCUGAUCCGUGGAGCUGAUCCGCUCUUCCUCACCACUGUGCAGCAGAGGGGCCAGAACCACCACAUGAACAGCAGAGCCAGCAGGAGGAACAACACCAGCAGGGUGAUGAGGAGGAUGGUGCCGUCAAACUGCACGGGAAACACAAGCCGUCAGGCGCCACGGACAGACGCCGCUCAUCGUUUAAACACACGACAAACACAAAACAUGAAGGAAAAGGAAAAGUCUUCGGCGGAAUUCAGCAAGUUACUUUCAGAUUACUUGCUACUGUAAUCUAAAGUAAUCCCCAUUUGCAUCGUCGUUACAGAACUGAGACCACUUUUACUUUGAAAUUCCUUUCUUUUUUACAGAAAUAGAACGUAAAAUCUGAAAGAUUUCACAUUUAGCUGAGAGCCACUCCUAUGGGGUCAAAUGAGGAUCAGCUGAAAGAAAAUAAAAACAAACAAAUUGUAUCUUUAAAAAAAUGAAAUACAUUUUUAAAACAGUUUUAAACAUUGUGAACUGAAACAUUUUUAAAAACCUGAGAGAAUCUUUGUGAAAAAUUUAAAUUAAACUUGAAAGACAUUGUAAACUUCAAUGAAAAAACGCCAAAUAUCAGCUUCUCAACUCCAUGUUGGCUUUGGGCUCCACCCAUUGUUACAUCAUCAACACAUCUAAGGUCAAAGCGGAGUCUCUGAUUGGUUGACAUGACGCAUAUUGUUUGUCAAAGUUCAAAGAUUUGAACUCUUAAAAAACUCACUACUGCCAGACCGCCACACCACACCCACGCACUUAAUGCGACCUUAGAUUACAUCUGUACAAUGACUUAACAUUGAAACUGGACGCCAUGACGUGUGAAUGGCAUUUGGUGGGGGCGUGGCUUAAAACACUUGUUAGCGUUUCUAAAAGAGUUUAAAUGAGACAUUAAUAAGGCAUUUUUAGAAAUUUUAUCAAUGUUAUUUUUUGAUAAAAUGACUUGUAAGCGACUAAUUAAUAUAACUUUGUCCUCAUUAUAAGUAUAUUUGCUUUGCAGCCCCUCAAUCUAAACCAUGAUGUGUUUUUUCACAAGACUUCCUUGGUAAACACAACUGCUAAUAAAGGCUUCUAACCACA